UUUAUUCAUUUUCCAAACCCUUGCAGCAAUGGAGGCGGGCAGGCAGCCAAGAGAAUACAGAACAUUGGUGAUAGAAAGGGAAACGGGGCCUCACGAAUUCCAUUUCAGACCAAUUCACGGCUACAAUUAAAAGCAUCAGAAAGAGAAAAUGACACUGUCAUUUCUGCAGAACCGGUUGCAAUGUGAUGUGGGUAAAACAUUGGAAUAGAAAACAUAGAGACCCAACCCCAGAAAGAUGAAUGGAUCCCCUCAAACCCCUUAUCUCCUCCUCCCAUUUGCCAUCCAGGACAAGGAGGGCAUCCCCCCAGACCAGCAGUGCCUCAUCUUCACCGACAAGUAGCUGGAGGAUGUUGCACCCUAGUCGACUACAACAUCCAGAAGGAGUCCACCAUCCACCUCAUCCUCCGCCUCCGCAGUGGCACCAAGAAACGCAAGAAGAAGACCUACACCAAGCCCAAGAAGAUCAAGCACAAGAAGAAGAAGGUCAAGCUUGCCGUCCUCUAGUUCUACAAGGUCAAUGCUUAGCUAGGUAGGGGAUGAAGUAUUCGGAGAGAUUCACGAGCAUGCUUUGUACCCAAAGGGAUGUGUGUCACUGGCGGAGUACAAUACAUUGGAGGAGAAGGUACUAGCUUCGAAGCCCAAGAAUUUGAGUUUUGCCGAGGCAGCUAACCUUCCUGUUGCCGUUGAAAUAGCGUACGGGGGAACUUGAAAGCACUGGGCUUUCAGCUGGUAAAUCACUUCUUGUUCUGGGUGGUGCUAGUGGAGUUGGAUCUUUUAUCAUUCUGGUCUAUGCAACUGCUACUGUCUUUCUUGUAGUUUUUUUGGAGAGGAAGCGAAAUUUCCUGACGCAGUGUAGUGGAGAUAUGUUGCUCAUUAUAGACUUCUGGAAGAUCAGCAGCAAGAGUUGCUAAUUGACUCAAGAACUAUAGAGAAAAUCUUAUGCUCAAGAAAUGUUUCGACAACACUUUUUUUGGGGACUUGGAUUUGUUUUGUAAAAUUACCUUGACUUAUAUAUUAAAUUUAGGCUAAAUACCCCUUAUCAAACUAUUUGUAUGGUGUUAUUGAACUUGAUUAUGAUAUUCGAAUGCUUAAAAUGAUAUUUUAGCAUUUCACAAUGUAAUGGAUGCCUUCAUUUGUUAAUUG